UACAGAGGGUGCGAGCGUUAAUCGGAAUUACUGGGCGUAAAGCGCGCGUAGGCGGCUUUUCAAGUCGAUUGUGAAAUCCCCGGGCUCAACCUGGGAACUGCAGUCGAGACUGUCUAGCUAGAGUAUGGGAGAGGGAAGUGGAAUUUCAGGUGUAGCGGUGAAAUGCGUAGAUAUCGGAAGGAACAUCAGUGGCGAAAGCGACUUCCUGGACCAAUACUGACGCUCAUGUGCGAAAGCGUGGGGAGCAAACAGG
rnacentral:rRNA from 1 species